rnacentral:lncRNA from 1 species
CUUUCAUCAGCCAGGAUCCCUAUGGGCAGAUUUCAGCUCAGCUUAUACUUAAAAAUGAGAAUAGGACAUUCAUGCUCAGGGAAUGAAUCAGCCAUAGCUAGAGGGAGAAAUUAUUUUCUUCUUUUAAAGUUAGAUUUGAUGUUUACUUUGUAGAGUAAAUUUCAUAGAAUUGCCUGUUUCAUAAAAAAUGUUAAUUACUAUUAAUAAUAGUCAUUUUAGCUCCAAAUUUCAAAAAAGGACAUUGAAGAGUCUCAGAUGGCAUUGCUUAGGUAACCCUGUUCUGUUAUACGAAGAGACUUAGGUAAAUUACUUACCUUUUACAUCUAAGGUGAGUUCAGGUAUACACUGUCUACUUUUGGAAAAACAGCUGUUUCUUAAUAAGAUACCCAAGUGAUAAUUUUUCUUUUUCCUAGGCUGCCAGGCUUAUUAGGUAUACUAAAUCUAUUAGCCAUCCCCUCUACUCAUACAUAGAACCCAACCAGUAAAAACAGGUUCGAUAAUGAGAAGGAAUGUAGUAAGAAUGUUGACUGGAUCUUAUGGUUGGGAUAAGUGAGGUUUUUGUUUUUCAUUUUUUUUAGACAGGGUCUUGGUAUGUAGUUUGGGUUGGCCUUGAACGCAUCAUGGAGUCCAUGCUGGCCUCAGACUUGUGGCAAUCCUCCUGCUUCAGCCUCCUGAGUGCUGGGAUUACAGGGGGAUAAGUGAGUUUUGCUGGAUAAUAUGGCAGUAAUUUUGUUCUAGAAUUUUUAUUUUUGAGCUAAUACAGGAAUGUUUUACAAAAAAAGCUUUUCUAUGAAAAUUAGAAAAUUAUACUUGAGACUAAAACUUUGAAGAGGGAGAACUUAAAGCUAAGUUACCAGUGAGGCACUUGAUUAAUUUAGAAGAGAACAUUACUAUUUAAUGUACUGAAUGCCCAACAUGCCAAUUUUCAUGAAGUCUUGGUUUUUAUAUAUAUGUACAAAUAUAUGUUAUGCACAAAUAUACAUAUAUGUGUAUCUUUUUAAAGUUAUUUAAAAAACUUUUAAUGUGAUUUUAGACUUACAGAAGAGUUGUAAAAUAGAGGUCCUGUCUACUCUUAUCGAGUAUUGUGCAUCUUACAUCAGCCAUACAGCAUUCGUUAAAUUAAGAAACUGACCUUGGGGCCGGGGAUUUAGCUCAGUGGUUCUGUCACCUGCCUCGAAAGUGCAAGGACCCGAGUUCAAUCCCCGGUACCAAAAAAAAACCAAACUGACCUUGCUACAAUACGACACCGCUAACUAGAGAGGUGACGUUAGAGAUUUUAUUAGUCUUUUUACUAAUGUCUCUUAUCGUUCCAGGAUCCAAUCUGGUCUCAUCUUGCCUUUUCUUGUCACAUCUCUGGUGUCUUCUGGUCUGUGACAUUGUGUCCUAAUGGGCUAUCUGAUGCUGUAUUUCUGGUGAUGUGAAACUAGUCACUAUGCUAAUGUGGUGUCUGCUAGGAUACUCUACUGUAAACUUACUGUUUUCCUUUGUAAUUACUAAAUAUUUGCUAGAGAUACUUUGAGACUAUGCAAAUAUCCUAUUUCUACUUAAACUUUUGCCAAUUCCUUGUACUAUCCAUUGGCAGACCUUGCUUGUGGCAGUUACUACUGUUGUGGUCUAUUUGUGAUUUUCUCUUUUUCUCAUUUCUUCUAUAUUUAAUAAUUGGAAUUCUUCUGUAAGGAAGAGUUGUCACAACUGAAUUUAUAUUUUUAGUUAUAAUAAGAUAUUCAGGGUAGCUACAAACUUAGAAUUUAAAGAUGUAAACCGUGUUAAAAUGAUUCUAAAUACCACUAUCAAAGAACUGAGUUGGUAACCUGUCUCAGAAAAUAUAAUUAAUUUAAAAAGGAAAAUAGUUUUUAUGAUUUCUAGAAUUGAUUUGACUUUUUUUUUUUUUUUUGGUACUGAGGAUCGAACUUUGGUCCUUGCGCUUGCAAGACAGGCAGCAGAACCACUGAGCUAAAUCCCCGGCCCUGUUUUGACUUUUUACUGAGUGUUGACUUUAGAAUGAAAUUAAAAAUUAUUUUUGAAAUUUUACAUUUUUUUUUCUGGUACUGGAGAUCUAACUCAGGACCUUGCGCUUGUGAGGCAGGUGUGGUACCACUGAGCUAAAUCCCCGGCCCAUGAAAUUUUACAUUUAGACUUUUGUUUGUUUGUUUGUUUUUUGUUUUUUUGUUUUUUGGUACCGGGGAUCGAACUCAGGUCCUUGCGCUUUCGAGGCAGGCAGCGAAACCACUGAGCUAAAUCCCGGGCCCUACAUUGAGACUUUUAGAAAGUAUCUAAAUUUAUAUUACUUUUGGGAUAAUUUUUGUUAAAAUCUUUAAUAAAGUUACCCAGACCUAGCAUGAUAAACACAGCUACGUUUUCUUCAUAUUAAAUCCUUAUUGACCCAAAUAUAAAUGUCAAUAUAAACAUUUAAACAAGUGAACCUAAAGGAGGUAUCUACGGCAUAGGUUAUAUCUAUGGGUUGUGUGUAUAUGCUGGUGCAGAAUUCUUUUAAAUGUUCUGAAAAAUGAGGUUUGUCUAACUAAUGUAAAUAAUACUGCUUAAGCUAAGCAUAAAUUGAGUAAUAUAGAUUAAUUGGCAUUUUAAAAAAUGUUUUGAGGAAAUGGAGCCUUUUUUCUUUCCUAAAAAGAUAUGAGUUUACUAUAAUUCUAGAAGUUUAACCAGUCAAUUCUGAAAAAAGGCAGUAUUCUCUGAUCCCACCUCUAUUUUUCUUUCUUUGAAGGCAACCACUUUCAAAUGUAAAACAUAUUUUAAAAUGUAUUUUUAUGGUUUUAAAUAUCACAAUUAUGUUGCUUUUUCUUGACUUAGCAAUUUUUGGUCUUUCCUACUGGUAUUUUAUUAUAGAGGAUGACAAUUUGGGUUUAUCUCUUGGCCCUUAUCAUUCACACAUCUUAGCCCUAUCCUCCCUGCUUCUCAGUAUGGGUUAUAUAGUAAUUUCAAUGUAAAUGCUAACCAGAGCUCUGCCAUGUAAUAAACUGUGAUUUCUUUU